UACGAAGGGGGCUAGCGUUGCUCGGAAUCACUGGGCGUAAAGCGCACGUAGGCCGAUUGUUAAGUCAGGGGUGAAAUCCUGGAGCUCAACUCCAGAACUGCCCUUGAUACUGGCGGUCUCGAGUCCGGGAGAGGUGAGUGGAACUGCGAGUGUAGAGGUGAAAUUCGUAGAUAUUCGCAAGAACACCAGUGGCGAAGGCGGCUCACUGGCCCGGUACUGACGCUGAGGUGCGAAAGCGUGGGGAGCAAACAGG
rnacentral:rRNA from 1 species